UUUGUUCCAAUUUUAGAAAUUCAAAUUGCCGGGAUAGCUCAGUCGGUAGAGCAGGGGAUUGAAAAUCCUCGUGUCA
rnacentral:tRNA from 1 species